CAGAAAACGUAAAGUACACAAAAUGAAAUGAAAUGCCACUUUCCUAAUCUGCACUUUCCUAUUCCUCUUCUACGCCACUGAAUAGUUAACAUAAAUAAUUUUUUCCCUCGUUAGAUUUUUAGUUCCCUCCUCCUAUUUCCUCCCAAACCCUACCUCUAUUCUGCUCUCACAAUAACAAUUAAGUACAAGAAGCUUUAAUCCCUGUAAGUCUGUAACUUUUCCUUCCCUUUUCUUUUUUGGUACAAGAAGCUUUAAUCCCUAUGGAAACUACAACUACUCAAAAAGUAAAUAGUGAAAAAAAAUGGCCACGGCUGGAAUGCUUCAAUUACGUCGUGCAAUAGUGAAAAAAAAUGAUGCUUCUUGAAGGACUUCUUUUUGUUCUGAUGGUUCCUUUUCUCAGAUUCGGUAUCGAACUUGGACAGUCAAAACAGGAUGUCAAUUCUUUAUUUUUGAAGUCAUUUCCUUCGUGGACCGUAGGAGUUGAACAAUCCACCAACUUAUGGAUCUAUGUUGCUGAUAUCUUGCCCUUUUUAGCGCUUAUCAUUUUAUCUUAUAUGCUUUACAAGAACAUCAGACAUAGUUCCAGUCAGGACAUAUUCAAGUUUGUUAUUAUUGGAA